rnacentral:misc_RNA from 1 species
CAGGCUAACAGAUCCGCGAACCUCGGGUCUUGGGAGUCCCGGCGGUCCCCCUUCGGGGCCGGGCUCCCUGAUCGCACGUGACGAGAGAAUUGUCGCUCGCGCUCGAAGCGUCGGCGGAGACUGCGAUCUCGGCCGCGCUCGCACACGGGGUUCUCUCUCGAACCGCUUCCCGUUCGUUUCGACGACGGCGAGUGAGAGUGGAGUCCCCGGCGAGCGCGUCGUCCGGGUCGCCGGUCGGAAGUCCUCGCGGUGGGCGCGAGCGCAUUUCUC